GGCUGGUCCGAGUGCAGCAUGGGGCUUACAACUAAUUAAUCACAACCAGUUACAGAUUCUUUUGUUCCCUCUCCUUUAAUCUCCAAGGACAUGGCCUUCG
rnacentral:sRNA from 1 species